rnacentral:rRNA from 1 species
AUUCCAGCUCCAAUAGCGUAUAUUAAAGUUGUUGCAGUUAAAAAGCUCGUAGUUGGAUUUCUGGCAUGAUGCGCCUGGCCCGCUCCGAUUACGGAUGUGUGUGCUAGUGCGCGUCUGCCAUCCAUUUACGGAAUGUAUCUACCCUUCAUUGGGCCGGAUAUGUGAUGUAAAUCUUUUACUUUGAAAAAAUUAGAGUGUUUAAAGCAGGCACUUGCUAUGAAUACAUUAGCAUGGAAUAAUAAUCUAGGACUUCGGUUUUAUUUUGUUGGUUUCUAAAUCUGGAGUAAUGAUUGAUAGGGAUAGUUGGGGGUGCUAGUAUUUAGGGGCCAGAGGUGAAAUUCUUGGAUUCUCUAAAGACUAACUUAUGCGAAAGCAUUCACCAAGGAUGUCUUCAUUA